rnacentral:tRNA from 3 species
GGGGGUGUAGCUUAGUGGCAAAGCUCCAGCCUUCCAAGCUGGUCACGCGGGUUCGAUUCCCGUCACCCCCUCCA